GUUGAAAUUGUGAGUUUCAGUUGAUGGUGAACACUGUCAAACAAGUAGUGCCGAUCCAAUGUUUGUUUCUUGUUAGAAUCAAUGUAUCUACAGCAGUGUGAGAUAGAGGCCCUAUCAUCGUCAGUUUUCAGAGGAUUAGAGUCUUUAAAGGAACUGUUUCUGGCUCACAACAACUUGAAACAUUUCGACUUACAUGUGUUUUCUUUUCUCAGGUUCCUGGCUCACAACAACUUGAAACAUUUUGACUUACAUGUGUUUUCUUUUCUCAGGUUCCUGGCUCACAACAACUUGAAACAUUUUGACUUACAUGUGUUUUCUUUUCUCAGGUUCCUGCCUCACAACAACUUGAAACAUUUCAACGUACACGUGUUUUUUUUUCUCAGGUUCCUGGC